CACACACACGCAGCAUCACUUUGAGUGUGUGUGUUGAUAUGUGGGCUCAGGAUUUUAAUGUCUAACAAGGUUACGCAACUUCACAAACAUUGAAAAAGGCUCCUCUGUUAAUUAUCUAGACUAGAAUGGAAGAAACACACACACAUGAUCAUUUCUUAACACUUCUGACUGAAGGGGGGAUGAGGAGGAGGCUGCGGCUCAUUACAGAUCCACUGAACACACAAUCUCAUGUUGUGUAAGCUGUGUGUUCCUCCUCCUCGCACGGAGCGGCGAGCAUCUGUGUUGAUGUCACACACGCAUGUUCCCCGUACAUGUGACGAGGGCCAGAACAAGCUCAACCAGAGGAAGAGGACACGUGAGAUGAAGAUGAACCGACAGAGUUCAGCUCGACCCUCUGGAGCCGAGCGGGAGGGUUUUGACCAGUUCACAUGUCCCUGUACCAGGACUAGUGGACCUGAUGGGGACUGGACGGGUCUGGAAGAGGCACCGCUGAUGCAGUGACUCCGCUGGACACGCCCCCCGAGCGUCGCACGCACAACCCGUCAUCACGCUGCCGGUGACGCGGCACGUAGAUUUCCUCACGACACCUGAAAAUACAGAAAUACAAUUGUUUUAUUUAAAUCAUCUCAUU